rnacentral:rRNA from 1 species
AUACGGAGGAUGCGAGCGUUAUCCGGAUUUAUUGGGUUUAAAGGGAGCGUAGGUGGGAUAUUAAGUCAGCUGUGAAAGUUUGGGGCUCAACCUUAAAAUUGCAGUUGAUACUGGUUUCCUUGAGUACGGUACAGGUGGGCGGAAUUCGUGGUGUAGCGGGGAAAUGCUUAGAUAUCACGAAGAACUCCGAUCGCGAAGGCAGCUCACCGGGCCGGAACUGACACUGAUGCUCGAAAGUGCGGGUAUCAAACAGGAUUAGAUACCCUGGUAGUCCGCACAGUAAACGAUGAAUACUCGCUGUUUGCGAUACACGGUAAGCGGCCAAGCGAAAGCGUUAAGUAUUCCACCUGGGGAGUACGCCGGCAACGGUGAAACUCAAAGGAAUUGACGGGG